rnacentral:tRNA from 1 species
GGCUGGUUAGCUCAGUCAGUUGAGCGUGGCACUUACAAUGCCAAGGUCGCGGGUUCAAUUACCGUUUGGUCCC